rnacentral:misc_RNA from 1 species
GAUGAAGAACGUAGCGAAAUGCAAUACUUGGUGUGAAUUGCAGAAUCCCGUGAACCAUCGAGUUUUUGAACGCAAGUUGCGCCCGAAGCCGUUAGGCCGAGGGCACGCCUGCCUGGGUGUCACACAUCGUUGCCCCAAUGCCAAUCGCCUCACUUUGUAGGUAUUUGCUUGGGGUGAAUGUUGGCCUCCCGUGAGCUUUGUCUCACGGUUGGUUGAAAAUCGAGUGCAUGGUGUCGGGUGUACCAUGAUGGAUGGUGGUUGAGUGAUGAUGCUCGGUGACCCACAUGCGUCCCUUGGAUGCUCCCUAAGGAGACCUCAGGUCAGGCGGGGCUACCCACUGAGUUUAAGCAUAUCAAUAACGGAGGA